rfam:Peptoniphilus sp. ING2-D1G genome assembly, chromosome: I
AAAAAGGUUUGUCGUGAGAAGUCAGCAGAGGUCGUAUUACCUGGCGCACGCCAGGAAAGGAU